rnacentral:lncRNA from 1 species
AGUGCAUCGAGGAAUACAAGCUUGAGGCUGAUUACCCUUCGGAAGGCCUUCGAAAACGUCUGGAACAGCUAGAGAAGACAAAAGUUGACAAGAAAAAACCUGCAGCAGUUCCUGCCAACAAGCGAACACGGGCUAGCAAUGGGGGUCCUAUGCCUCCUGCCAAGGCUGGUCGUCUAACGAACGCAUAUGUCUCUUCUUUCCCAGCAAGUAGCCCUACCUAUGUCCGCUCUCCAUCACAUUCUCCAUACUCACCUGUGGUGUCACCUGUGGUUUCACCUUAUGCUUAUGAAAGGCAACAUGCUCCCUCCAUGUAUGGCAGCAGGAGCCCACCGACCAUUGUGUAUUCUCCAGAAGAAGCUGCUCCACCUAUGCUUGGUGGCUCAUAUCCAGGGGCUCCCUUAAAUUAUCCUGCAUACGGAGGAUAUGGAAAUGGUUUAGUAGCAGGGUAUCCACAGGCAUACUACCGAUAAAGAUGAGAAAUCUGACAAUGCUGAUCUACAGUGGGAUAACUCAUGGAAGAUGGUAACACUGAUGAUGACCCCAAUCUCAACUACACUUUAGUGGUUUGUUUGUAACUAAUCACUAACUACUUAUCGUAGCCAUGUGUGUGUUAUUAUGUCCUUGUUAAUGUUGAACCUGUAUUUCUAGUCUUAAUUCGACUUGUAGGUGAUUGUGAAAAGUUAUCAGCUAAAACAGUUCAGCUCUAAUAAAGACUUCAGAAACACUGACUGCAAGUUUCACUUGCAGCAGGGACUACUGUUAAGGGCUAAUUUCUGUUAUUUUUUUUAUUCCCCAUUUCUUUGCAAGAAUGGGUUCAACUGAAACAAAUAGUCAAAUACCACCAUUGCCUGUUAUUUAAUUACUGCAUGGUAGAGUAUGUUCUCGUUAUUCUAAACCCUAAUGUCACUGAAUUUGUCAGCACUUUCGACUAUAUUUACUGUUCAACAUUUCAAAUGCAUAAUGUAUGUAUGAGACCUUCCUCACUGAACAACUGCAUGAUAUCAAACUAGCACUCUACUUGGUUUUAUAUUACACAUAUUUUUGUAGUCUGCCAUGUAUUUGUUACACUGCAUCCUUUCAAAAUGUGCAUGCCAAUUCUGUUAAUUCAAUCACGAAAAUGCUGAACGUUUUAGCUGAACUUACAUGAAGAAUUAUGGACUUGCGUUGAUUUUGGUACAUAAGCACUGCCACAAUUCCACAACAUUGUAUGAUGCAGAGAGAGUGAAAACCACUGAAUUAUUUCAUAAAUGAUAACGUUUUUUUCACAAGAGAUUCGCUAUGAUUUGUAUCUAUGAACUUUAAAACCCAUGAAACUGACAUAGGGCACAGGAAAAUGUUGUUGUCGUCCAAACAGUAAAAUUUUCCGAAAAAGACUUAAAAAAAGAGGGGAGAAAAAAAAAGUCGGGUUUUGAAAAUUGCAGUAAAACCUUUUCUCUCACACCAAUGUGACACCACACCCCAUCUUCCUUCUCUGAUUACGAAGGUGAGAAAGAUUCUCUUUAUUUAUAGAAUAGAUUUCGUUGAAUUUGCAGUGAAGAUAAUGAUUUUGGGUUAUGAAUUUGAGUUCAAUCUAGCUAGUAGGUAUUUGAAUGUAGUUUAUGUAGAUAGAAUCAUGGUUUCUAGCUGAGAAUGGGUUUUAUUUCAAUUCAUAGUUUUUGCCUGAUUUUUGCUUUGAAUAACUAGAUUUGUUGAUGCCUAGUUUUGUUUUUAUUUAUUGAAGAUCAUGCAUGCAUUGCAAUGGUGCAGAUUAUGUGUUUGUGGAAAGGUCAAAGAGAGAUAUAUAUUGUUUCACUGUUUAGUUUUUUUUCUUUCUUUGGCUUUAGAUUAUCUUUUUCAGCUAUUUGCGAUACUUUCGAGGAUUCAUUUGACUAAUAUGCUAGACAUAGAGUGGAUUUAAUGCAUAUUUUUGUUAACUCAGUAGGAAACUAGGAACUACUUUGUUGUGUUGCUUGUGUUUAUACACCAGCUCUUGUUCGGUCGUGUUUUGACAAGAAAUAUGUGACUGCAGGUUCUUUCAAUUUAAUCUCCUCCUUGGUUGCAAAAGAAAAAAGUGUAGUAAAUGAAGCCACUAAUAAGAUGGCCCAAGCUUCUCAACCCAACUCAACUAUCACAAAUUAUCCGAGACAACCAAAAAAACCCAUUAACCGCUUUUCGUAUCUUUAAUGAAGCUAAAUCCAAGUAUCCAAACUACAGACACAAUGGUCCUGUUUAUGCCACCAUGAUCAACAUCCUUGCAGGCACAGGUCGUUUGUCUGAAAUGAAAGACGUGAUCUACCAGAUGAAACAAGAUUCCUGUGAGUGCAAAGAUUCCAUUUUUGCAACUGUAAUCCAGACUUACGCUAAUUCUGGUUUGAUCGAUGAAGCCGUUUCGUUAUUCAGAAAUCUGCCACACUUCAAUUGUGUGAAUUGGACACAGUCUUUUAAUACUCUGUUGCACAUCUUGCUCCAGGACCAGAAGCAUGAAUCCACAUUGUUAGAAACUGCUCGUGAAUUGUACUUGAACAAUUCCAUAGGAUGGGAGGUUAGGAACCGAAUCCCAUCUUUGAACUUGUUCAUUGAAGCUCUUUGUCGUAGAAAUCGUUCUGAUCUCGCUCUUGAGAUUUUUCAAGAAAUGAACAGUCUGUGUUGUUACCCAGACAGAAACACGUACACAGUUCUAAUGAGAGGUCUGUGUGAGGAUGGGAGACUCAACGAAGCAACCCAUUUACUGUAUUCUAUGUUUUGGAGGAUCUCUCAGAAAGGCAGUGGUGAAGAUAUUAUAGUCUAUAGAACACUUUUAGAGGCUAUGUGUGACAGUGGACAGGUUGAAGAGGCUGUAGAGAUUCUGGGUAAGGUCUUGAGGAAAGGACUGAAGACUCCGAAACAGCGUCGCCAAGGUGUCAGUGUAAGACAAUUUCGUGAAAUUGAAAACUUGGAAGGGAUAAAAGGUUUGAUUAAUCUAGCCCUCAUAAAAGGUGUCGUUCCUAGUUUGUCUAGUUAUAGUGCUACGUCUCUUGAUCUUUACUCCCAAGGAAAAAUUGACGAUGCCGACCGGGUGUUUGAUGAAUCGCGACAGAGAGGCUUUUGCCCAUCGCUUUCCAUGUAUGAAGCGAAGAUAGAGGCACUCUGUAGAGAAGGGAGAGCUGGGAUAGCUGCUGUGAAAGUUAUUGAAGAAGAAAUGGUGGAGGGAAAUUGUGUUCCUACUGUCCAAACGUAUAAAAUAUUGGUAAAAGGUCUAUGCGGUGAAGGGAAGUCGAUGGUUGGUCUUAGAUACUUGGGCAAGAUGGAUAAACAGGUGGGUUGUGUGGCGGACAAAGAACUCUACAAUAUCCUGGUGGAAGGAUUGUGUUCUGAAAGACGAUUUAUUGAAGCUAGUAAGGUUUUCGAAAAGAUGCUAAAUAAAAGAUAUUGGCCAUCUGUUGCUUCUUACAAUAGGCUUGUUGAAGGGUUAUGUGUGGUGGGCAGGAGAUAUGAAGUUGUGUUGUGGCUGGAGGAGAUGACUAGCCAAGGUGAGUUCCCAGACGUUUCUCUAUGGAACUCGUUGGUUAAACUUAUGUGUUCUGAGUCGACAGACACUAAUGACGGGGUGAAGAUGCUCCAACACCUUACCAACUCUUCUUAAUGAAGGUUAACAGAGCUUGCAAAUGCCUUAAUAUGCAAUGCAUGCAAGGAAAGGAGCUAAAGUGCUCUUGAUGUGCCAAGAUAGAAAGAAUAAAAAAAAAGAACUGUGUGAGAAUAGGGUUAUUCUCUAAAUGUAUGACUAUGAGAUUGCAAUGGCUAAACAUAUGAACUGAUUAUCUAGGUAAAUGAGCUACAGUUACAGAGAACUUGUCUUUUUACGAUAUCUAGAAUGAGUUUUAGAAGGUAAUAGACGGCUAUGCAUGACAGGACGUUGGAGUCACCAGUCUCUUAGCUACUGGUAAGCACUGACUCAACUCUCUAAAUGGGUAUAAUGUUCAUCUGAAAGCAUAUAAAGGACAUAAUGUUCAUCUGAAAGCAUAUAAAGGACAUAAUGUUCAUCUGAAAGCAUUUUUGUUUAAUAAAAUGCUGAAACUUGUGCAUUAUGAGUUAAGCCAUAGAUGCUUACAUCGAUGCUUGUUGCAGCAACUUGCAGAACACAAGGAGCAGUCUGGCCUCUGGGCUGUCAUCAAGUGCAUUGAGGAGUACAAGCUUGAGGCCAAUUACCCUUCUGAAGGCCUUUGAACAUGUCUGGAACAGCUAGAGAAAACAAAAAUUGGCAAGAAAAAACCUGCAGCAGUUCCUGCCAACAAGUGAACACGGGCUAGCAAAGGGGGUCCAACGCCUCCACCAAGGCUGGUCGUCUAAUGAACGUAUAUGUCUCUUCAUUCCCAGCAAGAAGCCCUACCUAUGCCCUCUCUCCGUCACAUUCUCCAUACUCACCUGUGGUGUCACCUUAUGCUUAUGAAAGACACCAUGGUCCCUCCAUGUAUGGCAGCAGGAGCCCACCGACAAUUGUGUAUUCUCCACAAAAAGCUACUCCACCAAUGCUUGACGGCUCAUAUGCAGGAGGAGCUCUCUUAAAUUAUUCUGCAUGCGGAGGAUAUGGAAAUGGUUUAGUAGCAGGGUAUCCACAGGCAUAGUACCGAUAAAGAUGAGAAAUCUUACAAUUCUGAUAUACCGUGGGAUUACUCAUUGAAAAUGGCAACACUGAUGAUGACCCCAAUCCCAACUACACUUUAGUGGUUUAUUUGUAACUAAUCACUAACUACUUAUGGUAGUGAUAUGUGUGUUAUUAUGUCCUUGUUAAUGUUGACAUAUUUGUAUUUCUAGUCUUAAUUCGACUUGUAGGUGAUUGUGAAAAAUUAUCAGUUAAGACAUUUCAGUUCUAAUAAAGACUUAAGGAAGGGACUGUUAAGGGUUAUCUUUUGUACGCCUUUCUGUUUUUGUUUUCCAUUACACUUGACAAAAAUGGGUUCAACUGUAACAAAAAACCACC